GAGGAGCGUAUAGCACAAAAAGAGC
rnacentral:tRNA from 1 species